rnacentral:lncRNA from 1 species
GGGUAUAUCCAUGGACCAUUAAACGAGAGAAGUUCAAAGCCAAAACCAGAUCCUUUAUCUCUUGAUUUUUUUUUGUAAUAACUGUAGUGUCGGGGCCAGCAAGAUCAUAAACACUAAAAGAUCAUACCCCAGCAAUGGAGCUCAUGUAAGCAGAAUGUUUAAUGACCAUUGCACAAAUGUGAAGACCAUCACCAUUUCUAUGGAGGAAUGGAGCUCAUGUAAGCAGAAUGUUUAAUGACCAUUGCACAAGUGUGAAUGUCCCUCAAUAAAAUCCUAACAGUAGACGUGCCCCAACAAAAUAGAUUAAAUGUUAACUUUUCUUUUAAAAAACAUUAGUGUCCAAACCAGCUUGAGG